CCUACGGGAGGCUGCAGUGAGGAAUAUUGGUCAAUGGGCGGGAGCCUGAACCAGCCAAGUCGCGUGAGGGAAGAAGGUACUUAGUAUUGUAAACUUCUUUUGUCGGGGAACAAAGGCGGCGACGCGUCUCCUGAUGAGUGUACCCGAAGAAAAAGCAUCGGCUAACUCCGUGCCAGCAGCCGCGGUAAUACGGAGGAUGCGAGCGUUAUCCGGAUUUAUUGGGUUAAAAGGGUGCGCAGGCGGGAGAUCAAGUCAGCGGUAAAAUUUCGGGGCUCAACCCCGGCGGGCCGUUGAAACUGGUUUUCUAGAGUUGGAGAGAAGUAUGCGGAAUUCGUGGUGUAGCGGUGAAAUGCAUAGAUAUCACGAAGAACUCCGAUUGCGAAGGCAGCAUACCGGCUCCAUACUGACGCUGAGGCACGAAAGCGUGGGGAUCGAACAGGAUUAGAUACCCGAGUAGUC
rnacentral:rRNA from 1 species